UCCAGCUCGGUGGCAC
rnacentral:miRNA from 1 species